CCCUUAGAUGUUCUGGGCCGCACGCGCGCUACACUGACUGGUGCAACAAGUGUCGCUCCUUGGCCGAUAGGCCUGGGCAAUCUUUGAACGCCAGUCGUGAUGGGGAUAGAUUCUUGCAAUUUUUGAUCUUCAACGAGGAAUUCCUAGUAAACGCGAGUCAUCAACUCGCAUUGAUUACGUCCCUGCCCUUUGUACACACCGCCCGUCGCACCUACCGAUUGAAUGGUCCGGUGAACCCUCCGGAUCGGCCCGCGCCAACGCAAGUUGAGCAAAGGCCGAGAAGUUGGGUAAACCCUACCAUUUAGAGGAAGGUGAAGUCGUAACA
rnacentral:rRNA from 1 species